rnacentral:ribozyme from 1 species
AAUCGCAGCUGCUGCCCGGCUUGCCCCGGUUUGUGGCUUUUCUCGUCACUUUGGUGGCAGACCCCAACUUCAAGAUUGCCAUCUCCAGCAUGCAAAUACUCAGUGACCUUGUGGGCAUUGCGGGACCUG